AAAAGCAGGAAGCUCCCUUUCCCACUAGCAAAUUCAAAAUCAAAUCUUUUCAUGUUCCCAAUAUUUUCUUUUCCCUCUUAACUUUCCCUGAAAAUGUAGUAGUAGUAGUGAAAGUAAAACCAAGAAAAGAAAAAAAGAAAAGAAAAGCAUGAUUAUUAAUGUAAUGAUCACUUUAUAGUGUCAGCUUUUUUAUUUCAUUCACAGAAUGAUGAAGUUCUAAAAUGACAAAGUCUCAGUUCAUCUCCUCUCUGCUAAAAGAAAGCAAAGAAAGAGAAAAUGCAGUAUUUUUUGGGCCAACAGUUGAAUUAUCAUUUCAGAGCUUUUAGGUUUAAGGGCUUAUAAUAUGGCUUUGUGCAAGGAGGUUUCUGUGAUGCAAAUCUUGGUUUUCUGGUGGUUAAUGGGCAUAUAAGUUAUAUUUACUUUCUGGAUAAGAUCCAAAGUUGUGUAAAGUGUAAUUUUUCGGAUUUUUCCAGUUGAAUCUGUUGUCUAUUAGGAGAGUUUUUUAAGCAAUGUGGUGGUUUACUAAGAUCUUAGGGGUUUCGCAUAGUGAUGUCGAGAAUUUGGAGGGCUAAAGUUGAAAUUGGUGAAGGAAGAAGGUAAGUUUGCAUAAAAUGCCAGGGGUUUCAAGAAUAAGGUCAAUGAAUGUGGCUGAUAUAGAAGUAAGGCAAAUCUUUGGACCAGCUGAGAAUAAGGCACAGAGGUCACUUGGUUCAAGAAAACCAGUUUCAAAACCUAUUAGGAAGGCAGAAAAGUCUACUGAGGAAGUUGAGGUGGUGGAGGAUAAGAACGGUCGUCGAUUAUCACCUUUACUGCAAUCUGUCAAAGUUCCUAAAAUACUUCAGCGACAAGACUCGUUAUUGCAUUCGAGUCUGUCACUCAGUGCUUCAUGUUCUUCUGAUUAUGUAUCAGAUUCUUCACCUGAAGGUUUACAAUCAAAGAAAAGGUGUGCUUGGGUGACACCUAAUACUGGACCCUUGAACUUUCAACUUCUUAUACUGCCUUCCUUUUCAAUCAGAUCCAUCUUACGCAAAUUUCCAUAAUGAAGAAUGGGGAAUUCCAGUACAUGAUGAUAAGUAAGGUUCCAGAUUGCUGUUCGGAGCGUCCUUUACAAAAUACAGACGCUAAUUCUUGUUAUAUUAGUUCAGGAGAUUAUUUGAACUCCUUGUUCUUUGUGGAGCAUUGGCUGAACUCACUUGGCCUUUCAUUCUUAGCAAAAGACAUAUAUUCAGGGAAGUAUUUGCAGAUUUUGAUCCUAUAGCAGUGGCAAAAUUGAAUGAAAAGAAGAUUUUAGUACCUAGAAGUGCAGCAUGCUCACUACUAUCAGAGUUGAAACUGCGAGCAGUAAUUGAAAAUGCUCGUCAAGUAUCAAAGAUCAUUGAUGAAUUUGGGUCAUUUGACAAGUAUAUCUGGAGCUUUGUGAACCACAAGCCUAUAGUUGGCAGAUUCCGAUAACAAAUGACCAUCUUAUUAGCUGCUUCAGAUUUCAGGACUGUGUGGCAGCUGCUGAAGGAAAACAAUAGGAUCUAAACGAAGAUAAUUAUACUGAGGUAGCAAAAGCAAAUGAAGCCAUUGAAGCAAAGAAGUGUAGAUCGAUCGAUGAACUGAGUUUCUCAUUGGUGUGAUUGAGCCAUUGUGCAUUUUAAUGAGACAAUUCAGAGCUUACUUGGUCUAUCGUAAACAAUCUCUUUACCUUCCCAGGGUAAGGGUAAGGUCUGCGUACACACUACCCUUUCCAGACCCCACUUGUGAGAUUCAAAUGGGUUGUUGUUGUUGUAAUUCAGCGCUUACUUGUAACAUCUGGUGAUCAUCUAAGCUCACACAGAUUUAGUAGCAGAACUGGUCGUGUACAGAAACGACGUCGAUUCCUCUGCAUUAUAGAUUCUUAGAUUUGUAGAUUAUUAUUACUAGAUGAAAAUUGAGUUAAGUAGUGGUAACUUUUGUAGUGUACAGUGUGUAAUGUUAUUAUUACAAGUUUACA